rnacentral:lncRNA from 1 species
UUCCCACAGUCCAUCUCUUCGUCCCGGCAUAGAGCCCGUCCCCCACUGAUUGCAUCUUCAUCUUCUUCCUCAGCCCUUGCACAGCCCACCAUCCCUCUCCUCUCUCAGCUACAAAUCAGCCACAAACCGAACAGCGCCCCCUGGCCUUGAUUGUUCUCCAGCCGCUGCGAGACAAGCCCUCCUCUCUCAGCCGACCCAUCGGCCUCC